rnacentral:tRNA from 1 species
GCCCGAUUAGCUCAGCUGGUUAGAGCGUCGUACUAAUACUGGAAGCAGUACUAAGUAAUGCGAAGGUCAACAGUUCAAUCCUGUUAUUGGGCA